UCCCGAUCCCAGGGACCGGGCGUCACUUCCUCAUCGUGAGCGACGCAUCUGAGGGCGCCGCCUCACCUCCGCCUCCAGGAGCCGCCGCCGCUCCUCCUCCGCGUCCAGGCGCCGCUACCCCUCCGUCCCUUCAUCCUCGUCGGUGGCUCCUGCUCCGCCACCCCUCCGCCGCUCGGCCUCCCCGACGCUGCAACCGCUCGGCCUCCUCGUGGAUCUGCAGCAGCGCCUCCAGCUCGGCCUCCGGCCGCCGUCGCUCCGCCCCUCCGCCUCCCCGUCCAGGUUAUGCCGCCCCGUUCUACCGCUGCGUCGUCCGCCUCCCCCAACUGCCGGUCCCCCACCUCCCCGUCCAAGAUCCGGCACCGCGCUACAGUCCCUCGUCGCCUCCGUCUCCUGUCCGACUGUUGAGAUGUGCCUGAUAUAUUGCCAUCAACGUUAGAUGUCUGUAACUGCAAUUUUCACAAAAGGAUGUUCUGCUUUUAUAUUCUCUUUCCUUGCAGGCAAUAAUGGAUACGAGAUGCAAGAUCACAGGUACAUAUUUAACUAUUGGAAUUUACUUCCUUCUAUUUUAAUUCAAUUGCUUCUUUUGUUUCAAAAGAUUUAAUUGUUUCUAAAAAUUGUUUCAGAUUCAUUUGAUUAAUUCUGGCCACCUACAAGAGAUGUAACUUUCUGUUUGUCUUCCUCUGUUGUUUAAUUACAAGUCAAGUGCAAAGUAUAGUGCUACUUGCAUAAUAGAUUUUAUUUACUAAAGGCAAGAGUAUAUACGCUGUUUUGGAUCUAGUUGCUCGAAGUAUCAUAUUGACAAUAAUUUGACUGUGCACAUUCCGCUCUAUCAAAGUAACAUUUUUUAUAGAAAAUUUUAUGACUUAAUAAUAUAAGUGAACUACAUUGAAUAAUAUCUAAAUUAACCAUUCCUUAUACUUUUUGAAAGAAAUCGUAUAUUUGAAUGCUUGUGCUUACAAUUUGUGCUUCAUUUUUGUUUAGGAUGAUUAUUCAAAUAAAUAUAGAUAGCGAAGUUUCUUCAAUAAGAGUUUUCCUUCAAAAUUUGAAAAUCUAGGAAUCUAGUGUUCAUUCAGACAAGGACAUUUCUAUUUCAGCUUUAGAAUAGAGAUUUGGCUGAUGCAGAGUGAACUUGAACAGAGAGUCGUCAGUUUGCCAGGACAAAUGUAUUGACACUGUAGGUAUUGAGAUGAUUCCAAGGAUGAAGUAUGGAAACACAAGAAAGUUUACCCAUUUCAGAUGUCAUGUAUAUUUUACUUCUAGUCUGGAAUAUUGUAUAUAUUGUAUACCAUCCCUCUCUGUAUCAUUUUCUUCCAUGUACAGAAGAACUUAUUGAAUGAAAAUAUAUGGUAUAUUUUAUAAUGAAUCAAA